UACGGAGGAUCCGAGCGUUAUCCGGAUUUAUUGGGUUUAAAGGGAGCGUAGGCGGGUUAUUAAGUCAGUUGUGAAAGUUUGCGGCUCAACCGUAAAAUUGCAGUUGAUACUGGCAUCCUUGAGUACAGUAGAGGUAGGCGGAAUUCGUGGUGUAGCGGUGAAAUGCUUAGAUAUCACGAAGAACUCCGAUUGCGAAGGCAGCCUGCUGGACUGUAACUGACGCUGAUGCUCGAAAGUGUGGGUAUCAAACAGG
rnacentral:rRNA from 1 species